rnacentral:lncRNA from 1 species
CCUGCCUGCCUGCCUUUAUCAAAGACCUGGUAGCUUUGCCUCCUACCUGCGUGGGGCUUCUGGAAUUUUCUACCUGGGUGUCCCUUGGACCUGUAGCCCCGCAAGUGGCACGCUGCAUCCAUCCUAUGCCUGUGACAGCAGCUGCACAGAGCAGGUGCCUCAAAGGUGUACUCUGGAGGCUUCUCAGUCCUAGGAGGUGGGACCUGGCGCACAAAGGGCCCUCCAGUCUCAGGAGCAGGUGUUCUCAGGCUCCAGCCAAGUGGGCCUGCCGUGCAGCCAGUCUCCAGCAUCCCCGCCGACACCUCCAGGAGCAGCAGGAGCCCCACCGCCUCCUGAGCAGGGCGACCCUGGUCUGUGUCUGCCUUGGCCUGCAGGAUGCUGCCUGUGUCCCCGGAGGUGAAGACCAGCCCGCUGCAGAAGGCGAACUUCUGCUCGCGCCUGUUUGUCUGGUGGCUAAACCCUUUAUUUAAAAUCGGUCACAAACGGAAAUUAGAACCAGAUGACAUGUAUUCAGUGCUUCCAGAAGAUCGCUCCCAGCGCCUUGGAGAAGAGCUGCAAGGGCGCUGGGAUCAGGAAGCGAAGAGAGCCCAGAAGGACGCACGGGAGCCUUCCUUAACGAAAGCGAUCGUAAAGUGUUACUGGAAACCCUAUGUAGUUUGGGGAAUGUUUGCAUUUCUUGAGGAAGGCACCAGAGUAGUUCAACCCAUAUUUUGGGGGAAAAUUAUUAGUUAUGUUGAAAACUAUGAUCCUAAUGAUUCUGCCGCUUUGCACCAAGCCUACGGCUACGCGGCAGGGCUGAGCGCCUGCGUGCUCCUGUGGGCCGUUCUGCACCACUUGUACUUCUACCACAUGCAGCGCGUGGGGAUGAAGCUGAGAGUAGCCGUGUGCCACAUGAUCUACCGCAAGGCCCUUCGCCUGAGUAGCUCGGCCAUGGGGAAGACCACCACAGGCCAGGUAGUCAACCUGCUGUCCAACGAUGUGAACAGGUUUGACCAGGUGACGAUGUUCUUGCACUAUCUGUGGGUGGGGCCACUGCAGGCUGUCGCAGUGACCGCCCUGCUCUGGAUGGAAAUAGGAAUAUCAUGUCUUGCCGGGAUGGCAGUUCUCAUUAUUCUUCUGCUUUUGCAAAGCUGCUUCGUGAAGUUGUUUUCAUCACUCUGGAGUAAGACCGCUGCUCUCACAGACAAGAGGAUCAGGACCAUGAGCGAAGUCAUAACUGGCAUCAGAACAAUAAAAAUGAAUGCUUGGGAAAAGUCAUUUAUAGACCGUAUUACCAGACUGAGAAGUAAGGAAAUUUCCAAGAUUCUGAAAAGUUCCUACCUUAGAGGCAUGAAUUUGGCAUCAUUUUUCACUGUGAGCAAAAUCAUGAUUUUUGUCACCUUCAUCACCAAUGAGCUCCUUGACAACCUGGUCACAGCCAGCCAAGUGUUUGUGGUGGUGACGCUGUUCGAGGCUCUGCGGUUUUCGAGUACCCUCUAUUUCCCCAUGGCCAUCGAGAAGGUGUCAGAGGCCGUCGUCAGCAUCCAAAGAAUCAAGAACUUUCUGUUACUUGAUGAGAUAACACAGUGUUACCCUCUGCUGCCAUCAGAUAGUAAAACGAUCGUGGAUGUGCAAGCUUUUACAGCUUCUUGGGAAAAGGCAUCAGAGACCCCAUCCCUACAAGGCAUUUCCUUUACUGUCAGACCUGGUGAACUGUUAGUUGUGGUUGGACCUGUGGGAGCAGGAAAGUCAUCACUGUUAAGCGCUCUGCUGGGGGAGCUGCCCCCGAGCCAGGGGAAGGUCAGCGUGCACGGGAGGAUCGCCUAUGUUUCUCAGCAGCCCUGGGUGUUUCCAGGGACUGUAAAGAGUAACAUUUUAUUUGGGAAGAAAUAUGAAGAAGACAGAUAUGAAGAAGUAAUAAGGGCUUGUGCUUUGGAAGAGGAUUUACAGCUUUUGGAGGAAGGAGAUCUAACUGAGAUAGGAGACAGAGGAACCCCGCUGAGUGAAGGACAGAAAGCCCGGGUCAGCCUCGCCAGAGCCGUGUAUCAGGACGCAGACAUCUACCUCCUGGACGAUCCGCUCAGCGCAGUGGAUGCAGGAGUCAGCAGACACUUGUUCGAAGAGUGUGUUCGUCAGGCCUUGAAGGAGAAGAUCACAAUCUUAGUCACUCAUCAGCUGCAGCACCUAAAAGAUGCAAGUCAGAUUCUGAUACUGAAAGAUGGCAAAAUGGUGGAAAGAGGAACUUACUCUGAGUUCCUGAAAUCUGGGGUAGAUAUUUUUUCCCUUUUUGAGAAGGGGAAUGAGCAGUCUGAACCAUCUCCAGUCCCAGGAGCUGCCACUGCGAUCUCUGAGUCUUUGGUUCAGUCUUUCCAGUCUCCCAGACCCUCAUUGAAAGAUGCGGCUCCAGAGGACCAAGAAACUGAGAAUAUACAGUUAACACUACCUCUAGAGGACUACUUGGAAGGAAAAGUUGGUUUUAAGACCUAUAAGAAUUACUUCACAGCUGGUGCUGACUGGCUUGUCAUCAUCUUCCUUAUUCUAGUAAACAUCGCUGCUCAGGUUGCCUACGUCCUGCAGGAUUGGUGGCUUGCAUUCUGGGCGAAUCUACAAAGUGACCUGUAUUCUGGGGCAUUAGUAAAAGAAGAUGAAGCUGUAGCGUUAGUUCUGAACUGGUACUUAGGAGUUUAUUCAGGGUUAACUGUGUCUACUAUCCUUUUUGGCAUCACACGGUCUCUGUUGAUAUUCUACAUCCUUGUUAAUUCUUCACGAACUUUGCACAACAAAAUGUUGGAGACCAUUUUAAGAGCUCCAGUAUUGUUCUUCCAUAGAAAUCCAAUAGGAAGAAUUUUAAAUCGUUUCUCCAAAGACAUUGGGCAUAUGGAUGACUUGCUGCCUCUGAUAUUUCAAGAUUUCAUGCAGGCAUUUCUACUUGUGGUUGGUGUGGUGGGCGUGAUGGUGGCUGCAGUUCCUUGGACUGCUAUACCUGUGAUUCCCCUUGGCAUCAUUUUCUUUUUUCUUCGGCGAUAUUUCUUAGAGACGUCACGAGAUGUGAAACGCCUGGAAUGUACAACUCGGAGCCCGGUAUUUUCUCACUUAGCAUCUUCUCUCCGGGGACUCUGGACCAUCAGGGCAUACAAAGCUGAACAGAAGUUUCAGGAGCUGUUUGAUGCACACCAGGAUUUGCACUCAGAGGCAUGGUUCCUGCUUGUGAUGACAUCCCGAUGGCUCACUGUGUAUCUGGAUGUCGUCUGUGCCAUCUUUGUCACCCUUAUUGCCUUUGGAUCCCUGAUUCUGGCAAAAACUUUGGAUCUCGGGCAGGUUGGCCUGGUCCUGUCUCUCACGUUCACACUCACGGGGAUUUUCCAGUGGUGCAUCAGGCAAAGUGCCGAAGUUGAGAACAUGAUGAUUUCAGUGGAAAGGGGGAUUGAAUAUACAGACCUUGAGAAAGAAGCACCCUGGGAACUUGAGAAUCGCCCACCACCAAUCUGGCCUCCAAACGGAAGGAUUUCCUUUUCCAGUGUGAACUUGAGAUAUAACUUGGACAGUCCUCUGGUAUUGAGGAACCUGGAAGCAUUCAUUUACCCAGGAGGAAAGUAUGGCAUCGUGGGAAGAACAGGAGCUGGAAAAAGUUCCCUCAUUGCUGCCCUUUUUAGAUUGUCAGAACCUGAAGGUGGCAUUUACAUUGAUGACAUCUUGACAACCAGUAUUGGACUUCACGAUUUAAGGAAGAAAAUGUCGGUUGCACUUCAGGAACCUGUUUUAUUCACUGGAACAAUGAGGGAAAAUCUGGAUCCCUGUCAUGAGCAUACGGAUAACGAACUGUGGAAUGCCUUAGAAGAGGUACAACUUAAAGAAUCCAUUGAAAGUCUUCCUGCUAAAAUGAAUACUGAAUUAGCAGAAUCUGGAUUGAACUUGAGUGCUGGUCAGAAACAACUGGUGUGCCUUGCCAGGGCUCUUCUCAGGAAGAAUCAAGUAUUGAUUCUUGACAAAGCCACAUCAUACGUGAAUCCAAGAACUGAUGAGUUAAUACAAAAAAAAAUUCGUGAGAGAUUUGCCCAGUGCACUGUGGUGAUCAUUGCACACAGGUUGAGCACCAUUAUUGACUCUGAUUGGAUAAUGGUUUUGGAUUCAGGGACACGGAAAGAAUAUAAUCGGCCAUAUAAGUUGCUGCGAGAUAGAAACAGCCUGUUUUACAAGCUGGUGCAUCAACUGGGUGAGGCGGAGGCUGCUGAUCUCACUGAAAGGGAAAAAUAG